GAUGAACGCUGGCGGCGUGCCUAAUACAUGCAAGUCGAGCGAACAGACGAGGAGCUUGCUCCUCUGACGUUAGCGGCGGACGGGUGAGUAACACGUGGAUAACCUACCUAUAAGACUGGGAUAACUUCGGGAAACCGGAGCUAAUACCGGAUAAUAUAUUGAACCGCAUGGUUCAAUAGUGAAAGACGGUUUUGCUGUCACUUAUAGAUGGAUCCGCGCCGCAUUAGCUAGUUGGUAAGGUAACGGCUUACCAAGGCGACGAUGCGUAGCCGACCUGAGAGGGGGCUCGGCCACACUGGAACUGAGACACGGUCCAGACUCCUACGGGAGGCAGCAGUAGGGAAUCUUCCGCAAUGGGCGAAAGCCUGACGGAGCAACGCCGCGUGAGUGAUGAAGGUCUUCGGAUCGUAAAACUCUGUUAUUAGGGAAGAACAAAUGUGUAAGUAACUAUGCACGUCUUGACGGUACCUAAUCAGAAAGCCACGGCUAACUACGUG
rnacentral:rRNA from 1 species